UACGGAGGGUGCAAGCGUUGUUCGGAAUUACUGGGCGUAAAGGGCGCGUAGGCGGUGUAGUAAGUCAGAUGUGAAAGCCCUGGGCUCAACCCAGGAAGUGCAUUUGAAACUACUACACUUGAGUAUGGGAGAGGAGAGUGGAAUUCCCAGUGUAGAGGUGAAAUUCGUAGAGAUUGGGAGGAACACCCGUGGCGAAGGCGACUCUCUGGACCAAUACUGACGCUGAGGCGCGAAAGAGUGGGGAGCAAACAGG
rnacentral:rRNA from 1 species